GAGGGUAUAGCUCAGUGGGAGAGUGCCUGCUUAGCAUGCAUGAGGUCCUGGAUUCAAUCCCCAGUACCUCCA
rfam:Camelus ferus unplaced genomic scaffold scaffold814, whole genome shotgun sequence.